GAGAUAAUGGCAGCCAGAGAGGGGGCCCAAUCACCUGCAAAGGUCACUUUAUUUGUCUGCCAGGCCUGGCAGUGGGGCGGGUCAGCAGGGAAUGAGAGAGAACCAGCCACAUUUCAAAUAACCAACUUAGGGGAAACAGUUUUAAUCAUCCAAAACGAUCCUGAGUGAAUUAAAAGAAGAAAAUUAGAAGCCAGAGGCCCAUUUUCCCUCAGCUCAACUCGGAGCUUGCCCCAGGACUGUCUCGCUCUCCCAGUGCCAUCUCCCCGUGCCCCCCCCUUUCUGGGCUUCCUCUCCUUCCUUCCCUUGACUCCUAUUCUCCCAGCUACUCUCUUCACACACAUCCCCUUUCCCCCUCCCACAUACUCUUCCCUUUCUUUCAAGUUCAAAUCCAGCUUUAGACAAGUAACAGCUGUGAUCCUGGGCAAGUUGGGUAACUUUCCUAAAUUGUAAGCUUAGGGAGGGAAAAGUACUUCCCUCUCUUUGAGCCUGAUGAUGAUCUGGGAAUCUUUCUGUCUGACACUCCCCAAGAUUCCGGAUGAACGUGGCAAGCAAGAGCCAAGAAAAGGAGAGCAGGAGACAAGGCAGCCCCUCCUAGAAGAUUUCCUUGACCAUUUGAACCUGAAAACACGGUGUCGGACAGCCUCUUAUCGAUCCCGUCCAGAACCUCCCCGAAGAUGUCCAGCAAGACCACCAACACCAACAGCGUGGCCCAGGCCCGGCGAACCGUGCAGCAGCUGAGGUUGGAGGCGUCCAUAGAGAGGAUCAAGGUGUCCAAGGCGUCUGCGGACCUCAUGUCCUACUGCGAGGAGCAUGCCCGGGGGGAUCCUUUGCUCAUGGGAAUCCCGACUUCAGAAAACCCCUUCAAGGAUAAAAAAACGUGCAUCAUCUUAUAGGGCGUUGGGGAGCCCCCGGUGCCGCCCCCAUGAUCUAAGCAGCUCCAUGAAGAAACGUACCUUCCGCUCACUUGGUAACCACUGCUAAAAACGAAAAUGCUUUUAACUUGUAAAAACAAACAAACAAACAAAAAAUGAGUUUUAAAGCCUUUGUUUUUAAAAGUCUCCCUCUCUUUAGAGCAUACCCUUUACAAAAUGGAUGGGAAUCGGUCCGUUUGUCCUUGGUUUCAGUUGAAAUGACUCCAGGUGGUUCUUCUCUUAGGUCGGCUUCGGUUUGAGGGAUGCUGGUUGGGCUCGGCUUCUGUGUAAAUCCAUUGUCCAGUGAUCUGCUUUUUGAUUUGAGGGAAGACCAAAGUUGCCUCCUCCUCUUUCCAGAUCCCCCAGGCCCGCGGGUCUCUAAAACGCUUGCCCCCUCAGCACCCGUAAUCGGCCCGGUGCCUCUCUGUACAGUCCCCAAGUCUCGCAUGUGUUUGGCGUGUAUAUAUGACUUUGUAUAUAUACAUUUCAAAGUGCAGAUUUUCUAGCCCCCCGCCCCCGAGUUCUGCCUCUAGCCGGCCACCAAGGCCUCCGCCUACGGCUUCGGGGUGACGGGGACGGCCGCCCCCCAAGAGUCGUUUUCACGAUACCAAAUUCUGAUCACUUUCUCAUCGUCGUCACCCUCUUGUUUGCUUCUCUGGCCCUCACGGCCUAAAUAUAAACGGUGCCAAUUUAAGAGAGCGAAAAACAAACCCCUCUUGUAAUUCGAGGUGCUACGCUGUGAGGGCCCCCUUUGCUUUUACGGACCCAGCGCAGUCAGGAUACAGAAUCUCAAAAUCCCAGAGCCGGAUUGUCCAACCCGUGCCUAAACACGUAUCCUUUCUGUCACCCCUCCGGACAGGUCAUCCGCCUGCUCUGCCGGAGACCACGGACACCUCAGAGUUUUGUUUUUAAUUCAUAAAAUAAAAUUUAUAGGAUUACAACAAAGGAAAGCAGUUAUACCGAAAUUAUCAAAAUAGGAAAAAAAAAACAAGUUUAUGGACCCUCGUUAAAACCCCGGUCUAAUCCAGCCCAUUCCCCAUCUACACUAAGAAGUGGUCAUUGCUCAAAAACCUCCAUAAAGGUGAACCUCGCAAGGUGACCCAUUGGGAUAACCCAAAGGGCUAGGAGAUUUUUCCUAACCUCAAACCUAAAUUUGCUUCCCCUUGUUGCUCCUCGUUCAACCUUCCAAGGUCAAGCAGAAGGAGGGGAAGUGUAUUCAUGGGCCCAGUGACCAGAGAAGGGAGGUUGCAUGAAUGUGGUUUUCUCUACAAAAAAGGAAAUCAAUUAGCCUGCUAAUUGGGGGAGUCCGCCUCCUUCCUCUUGUAGGUCCAUCCAUUCUCUCUCCUCCCUCCCUUCCUCUUCCCUAAAUCUUACCUGUGUGUGGGUCUCCUCUCCUCCUCCCCUUACCUAAUCCCAGUUUGUAGAACCGCGGGCAGAAAAGGCCCAAGAUGUUGGUGGAGUGUCCCAUUCCUAGCAGCCCACCCUGCCCUGCUCUUCCUGGAGGCAAGACUAAGCAGUGUGAGAGAAGGCAACCCCCCCAAUAGAAAUACAAAGUAAAGAAGUCACCUUUCAUUCCCCCUCCCACUCAGGUCACUGCAGAGCUGAGCAGAGGACGUCCUGGGGACUUUUGGCUGGACUUAAAUGGCCCCCUCUGGGCCCAGCCCCUCCAGGCAGGUCAGGAGGGUCCUUAUGGACACAGACUGUGCACUGACUGCGCUAGACGCAUGGCAAUUCCCCUUCCCUCAUCUGUCACUCUGGGAGGCUGAUGCACUCUGACCCCUCACAGGCUUGAGCUGGGAGCCUUGGAGGCUCUCCAGAAAUGCGACUUGUUAGAAAAAUUCUUUACGAAUCCCAGUGGCCACGAACGCUGCUCCGGAAAGCCAGCCAAGGGGAUUCUGUCUAAUGGGCCCUUAGCAGACGCUCUUGGAGGCAGCAGCCCCUUUGAGGAGUGCUUUGUUCUAUCUGGGAGAAAAACCCUCCACAUCUGGAUUGAUCGUGGCCAUCAGACAGAUUCCCCUGCCUUCUUGUGGCGACUGUUGUGGAGGUUGGGAGCUUUGCCCUUCGUGCCUGGGAUUCGCCAUCACCCCUCACUACCAGCUUUGAAAACCGCUGCUCAGUGCUAUGGUUUGUCCCAUCCCCAAGUAAACGGAGGGCCUCCCCUCCCCAUGUCCAAAGCAAAAGGGUUACCCCCCCCUUCCAAAGCAUUAACUCGGCUGCGUAGAUGGGGAAAAAACCAUUCUCCCGGCCCCGACCCCCUCCUCACACUCUCCUCUUCUUCAAUGAUCUUAUUUUUGUAACGACCAUUUCCCAACUUAAUCCGUAUUUUCCAAUCUGAUUUUAACCACUAAUCAUGUAGAAUGCAGCCUGUUGCAAAAAGUGCAGUAGAGCUUGAUUCCAUGGGGACCCCGCCACUGAGGGUAGUCGCCCCUUACUCCGUAGUGUUAAACGGAUCCUUUAAUCUCUUAUUUCUAGUACUGGGCUUGCCCCGGCCAGGUCUGGCCCCUCUACCCCGCUCCACCUGCUCCUCCCCUGGCCUGCUGGAGAGCCUCCAGGCCUUCAAGCAUGGGCUCAGCUGCCCAACCAGCAGCCAAAGCCAAAUGACCCCAGAUCUAGACCUUGGCUUCUGGACCAAGACCGAAGUAAUAAUUCAGUGUUGACGGACCUAGAACCAAAAACAUUGUUGAUGUACCUAGAACCAAAAAGAUUAUAUGAGGAAAGAUAAUAUAUAUGUCUAUGCUAAACAGAAGUACAGAAGUCCCUUUUAUUUAACCGGCUCGAUCCCCCUUGUAAGGUUCAGCCGCUCUCGGAGCAGCUGCUGUGAUGAUUUGGGGCAGAUGUCUGGGUGUAUGACACCGUAAUGUUGACAGAGAUAUACGCCCACAGAUGUGUAUAUAUAAACUGUAACCCUCUGGCUUGGUUAUCACUGCACUUUCUACAGCGUGGGUUCAACGUAUGAACUUUGAUGGUAGUUUUGCCAAUAUGCUGUUUUCUCGGUUCGUCCCUUUCCCUCCAUCAUUCCAACACGUCUGUACAGUUUUUAUUUAAACUCGAGGUCUCAGUGCCAUGACCAUGUGCUAAAUAGAAUUUAUUGGUCCCAAAAUCUUUUACAGAAACACCUUUUGGACAGGGGAAAUAUUUUAUGUACCAGAUAAUCGAUUAACAAGUGAUACACUGUGUCUGCUUGCUCUUUUUUCCUACAAAAUCUGGUUUUUAAGUUCCCUGGGCGAAUUAAAAUCAAAAGUGCCAUAUUCACCUUUUAGAGAAAAGGUCUGGUGUUUGCUUUCAGCCCAAUUGAGACAAUUUUUAUACUUUUUUCAUCUAAACCACCAGAAGAAAAAUUUAUACCAAUAUUUUAGUGUAUAUAAAUGUGCAUAUGUUUUAACAGAUUCAUAGAGAUUUAUGGAAAUGCAGAGGCAUCUUUAAACCUGAGGCAGAGGCUAGAAAAACAAAUGGUGGAGGAUAUGUUCAGCUGUCUUUUCAGUUCUGUUAUAGCUAACUUUCUCGAUUUUAAAUGAAACGAGAAAAAUGGCAUUUAGCGAUCCGGUUACCCUGAAUUUCUUUUUUCUUUUGAGCUAAAACCUUCGAAAAGAUUCAUGGGCUUAGGAAGUGAAUUCUAACAUAAAUUAAUCCUUCCUUGCUGUCCGCCCUUAUACCAAAAGAUGAAUAUAUGACUAAGUGAGUGAGUAACAAUUCUCAAAGCUCUAAUUCGAAUAAUUAUGAGAAAAUCGAAUCUGGAAACUUCAGAUCGAAAUCUAUAAUUCCUGGCUUAUUGGCAGUGGUACGGAAAUUAAUCAAACCAUCCUUUUCUCUGAAUCAUAAACUGUCUCAGUUGGAAACGAUCCCAGAAGUCAUCUCGGCCAAGCCGUACUGGAAAAAGUGCUCCGGGACGACAUCCCCAAGUGUGGUCACCCGGUCCUUGCCCGACCGGGCAAGCCUCCCAGGCGAACCCUUCCGCUUUGGGAGCGUUCUGAUGGGUGGUGGGAAGAGAUUCCCGGCCUCCGGCCGCCACUGAUCUGUCUUCUGCCCUCCGGGGCCAAACGGAAUAAAUCUGAUUCUCCCUCCCCAGCCCCCUGAGCCAGGGCUCCAGGCCGCAUCCUCGGUGCCCCCCGGGCACGCGCUCUAAAGCACUGUUUUCAGAGAGGUUUCCCAGGGUUCCAAAGUCGAAGGCAGUAGGAUAGCGAGCCGGGACUGCCCGGCACCGGGUGACUCGCUUCCCGAUCCGGCCCCAGUCCCCCGGGCUGAGAAAGGACGGGCGAACCGGGUGACUUCUGGUCGUUCCAACUGGACAGACAGCUCCAUGGCCCCCCGACCCUCGCUCUCCCGCCGCCAUCUUCGUGCUGUGAGCCUCGCUGUGCUGCUGCUAUCUAAAUGUCGCUCCCCUCUCACGUCGCCCGCGCUAACGGCCCCCGAAAGUGUUUCUCCUGCCGCUAUUUUCUCACAGUUGGAAAACCUGCCUUUGUUACUCCCGUGGCGAUGAUGGUGUUUUGUUCCCUCCCGACUUUGUGGACUCCGUGACUUGCUUAAUGUUCUCUGUAUUGUUCGUGUGACUCCCCUGCGUGUCCUUUGGGUGUCCCCGAAAAUUUGCCUUUGAUUUCUAGUCCCUGAGACUCAGCCGUGUCAGAGCCUUCUCUGGCCCCUUGUAUGUUGUGUCGUGCGUAACCUUGACGCUGUGAUCAUCGUCCGAAAGACUGUCAAAGAUGGAAGCGUUUCUCUCCCAGCUCCUAUGUUCAAUAGCACGGAUACCAAUCAAACGAAUUAAAACAUCACGGCUUUCUAUUCUGCAUCGGCCUCCGCUUGUCUCAUUCUGUUCCCG
ensembl:lncRNA